UUGGAAGUAAAAAUCGUACCAGGGUUCCGAAGUUGACCUUGGGAAGGAUUCAUAA
rnacentral:rRNA from 1 species